rnacentral:rRNA from 1 species
AAUCAACGCUGGCGGCGUGCCUAACACAUGCAAGUCGAACGCGAAAGGGGACUUCGGUUCCUGAGUAGAGUGGCGUCCGGGUGAGUAACACGUGGGUAAUCUGCCUUCGGGUGGGGAAUAACUCAGGGAAACUUGAGCUAAUACCGCAUAAUGCAGCGGCACCUAAUGGUGAUUAGUUGUUAAAGCGGGGAUCGCAAGACCUCGCGCCUGAAGAGGAGCCUGCGGCAGAUAGCUAGUUGGUAAGGUAAUGGCUUACCAAGGCUUCGAUCUGUAGCUGGUCUGAGAGGACGGCCAGCCACACUGGCACUGACACACGGGCCAGACUCCUACGGGAGGCAGCAGUGGGGAAUUUUGGGCAAUGGGCGAAAAGCCUGACCCAGCAACGCCGCGUGAGGGAGGAAAUCCUUCGGGAUGUAAACCUCACAAGCAAGGGAAGAGAGCUACGGGCUGAAUAAUCCCGUAGUGCGACGGUACCUUGCGUAAGCCACGGCUAACU